rnacentral:rRNA from 1 species
UUGAACGCUGGCGGCAGGCCUAACACCUGCAAGUCGAGCGGAUGAAGGGAGCUUGCUCCUGGAUUCAGCGGCGGACGGGUGAGUAAUGCCUAGGAAUCUGCCUGGUAGUGGGGGAUAACGUCCGGAAACGGGCGCUAAUACCGCAUACGUCCUGAGGGAGAAAGUGGGGGAUCUUCGGACCUCACGCUAUCAGAUGAGCCUAGGUCGGAUUAGCUAGUUGGUGGGGUAAAGGCCUACCAAGGCGACGAUCCGUAACUGGUCUGAGAGGAUGAUCAGUCACACUGGAGCUGAGACACGGUCCAGACUCCUACGGGAGGCAGCAGUGGGGAAUAUUGGACAAUGGGCGAAAGCCUGAUCCAGCCAUGCCGCGUGUGUGAAGAAGGUCUUCGGAUUGUAAAGCACUUUAAGUUGGGAGGAAGGGCAGUAAGUUAAUACCUUGCUGUUUUGACGUUACCAACAGAAUAAGCACCGGCUAACUUCGUG